GAUGAACGCUGGCGGCGUGCCUAAUACAUGCAAGUCGAGCGAAUGGAUUAAGAGCUUGCUCUUAUGAAGUUAGCGGCGGACGGGUGAGUAACACGUGGGUAACCUGCCCAUAAGACUGGGAUAACUCCGGGAAACCGGGGCUAAUACCGGAUAACAUUUUGAACCGCAUGGUUCGAAAUUGAAAGGCGGCUUCGGCUGUCACUUAUGGAUGGACCCGCGUCGCAUUAGCUAGUUGGUGAGGUAACGGCUCACCAAGGCAACGAUGCGUAGCCGACCUGAGAGGGUGAUCGUGCACACGGGGACUGGGACACGGCCCAGACUCCUACGGGAGGAAGCAGUAGGGAAUCUUCCGCAAUGGACGAAAGUCUGACGGAGCAACGCCGCGUGAGUGAUGAAGGCUUUCGGGUCGUAAAACUCUGUUGUUAGGGAAGAACAAGUGCUAGUUGAAUAAGCUGGCACCUUGACGGUACCUAACCAGAAAGCCACGGCUAACUACGUGCCAGCCGCCGCGGUAA
rnacentral:rRNA from 1 species